CCUCAGAGAAGGACUUGACCAGUCUGGCUUCUGCCUAUAUUCCAGAACUUAUCUGAUCCUGGGUAUAACCAAAGGUUGACUAUAUGGUACUAAAG
rnacentral:pre_miRNA from 1 species